UACGUAGGGGGCAAGCGUUGUCCGGAUUUAUUGGGCGUAAAGAGCGUGUAGGCGGUUUGGUAGGUCCGUUGUGAAAACUCGAGGCUCAACCUCGAGACGCCGAUGGAAACCAUCAGACUAGAGUCCGGAAGAGGAGAGUGGGAAUUCCUGGUGUAGCGGUGAAAUGCGCAGAUAUCAGGAAGAACACCCGUGGCUAAGGCGGCUCUCUAGUACGGUACUGACGCUGAGGAGCGAAAGUGUGGGGAGCGAACAGG
rnacentral:rRNA from 1 species